rnacentral:rRNA from 1 species
UACGUAGGGGGCAAGCGUUGUCCGGAAUCAUUGGGCGUAAAGAGCGUGUAGGCGGCCCGGUAAGUCCGCUGUGAAAGUCCAGGGCUCAACCCUGGGAUGCCGGUGGAUACUGUCGGGCUCGAGUCCGGAAGAGGCGAGUGGAACUCCUGGUGUAGCGGUGGAAUGCGCAGAUAUCAGGAGGAACACCGGUGGCGAAGGCGGGUCUCUGGGCCGUAACUGACGCUGAGGAGCGAAAGCAUGGGGAGCGAACAGG